rnacentral:rRNA from 1 species
UGGGGAUAACCUUGCGAAAGUAAGACUAAUACCCAAUGACGUCUCUAGAAGACAUCUGAAAGAGAUUAAAGAUUUAUCGGUGAUGGAUGGGGAUGCGUCUGAUUAGCUUGUUGGCGGGGUAACGGCCCACCAAGGCUACGAUCAGUAGGGGUUCUGAGAGGAAGGUCCCCCACAUUGGAACUGAGACACGGUCCAAACUCCUACGGGAGGCAGCAGUGAGGAAUAUUGGUCAAUGGACGAGAGUCUGAACCAGCCAAGUAGCGUGCAGGAUGACGGCCCUAUGGGUUGUAAACUGCUUUUAUAAGGGAAUAAAGUGAGUCUCGUGAGACUUUUUGCAUGUACCUUAUGAAUAAGGACCGGCUAAUUCCGUGCCAGCAGCCGCGGUAAUACGGAAGGUCCGGGCGUUAUCCGGAUUUAUUGGGUUUAAAGGGAGCGUAGGCCGGAGAUUAAGCGUGUUGUGAAAUGUAGAUGCUCAACAUCUGCACUGCAGCGCGAACUGGUUUCCUUGAGUACGCACAAAGUGGGCGGAAUUCGUGGUGUAGCGGUGAAAUGCAUAGAUAUCACGAAGAACUCCGAUUGCGAAGGCAGCUCACUGGAGCGCAACUGACGCUGAAGCUCGAAAGUGCGGGUAUCGAACAGGAUUAGAUACCCUGGUAGUCCGCACGGUAAACGAUGGAUGCCCGCUGUUGGUCUGAAUAGGUCAGCGGCCAAGCGAAAGCAUUAAGCAUCCCACCUGGGGAGUAC